AAAAAAAGAAAGAAAGAAAGAAAAAGAAAAGAAAAACUGGAGAAGACAUUGAAGAUAUUUCAAGGCAAUAUAAACUAAUGACUACAGCAUUUAGUGAGCUUGCUAGGAGAGGUGGAGAUUUGGAUUUAUUUAUUACAUAUACAGUGUUCUGUCUGCAUGUAUUCCUGCGUGCCAGAAGAGGGCACAGAAUCUCAUUAUGGGUGGUUAUGAGCCACCAUGUGGUUGCUGGGAAUUGAACUCAGAACCUCUGGAAGAUCUGCCAGUGCUCUUAACCUCUGAGCCAUUUCUCCAGCCCCAUGAAGACAAGAGUGGUUGACACAGUAAAAUACAGAAAAUGCUGAGCUUGUGAAGUAAGCAGUUAAAGCAUGCAUGCAAAAGCCACCUGGGCCAGCUCAGGUACAAGCAUUAGCUUGCUGGGUCAGAAGUAAUCUACCCUUUGCAGAAGGCAUCCUGCAGUCUCCAGACCUUUUGCUUGCUAAGCCCCCAACAGUUGGUUCUUGCUUGUCAGAUCUCAGCCGGGUUCUGAGAGUAGCUAAGACACACAAGUAUGUCUUGGGGAGCACUGCAAUGUCUAAAAUGGCUCCUUGUAAGCAUUUCUGAGAUCCAUGUGUUUGCUGAGUGGAUGUCCUCUGCUUCUCUUGGCAGUAUAAAUGCAUUUUUAAGUUUCUACAGUCCCACAGUAUUCACUUAAGAUAUCUCUCCUAGGCCUCAAGAUACAUUCAUGUGUAAAAAAUACC